GAAAUUUAUGGUUGUUUCUCGAUUUUUUCACGAUAAAGUUUCAACGAUUACUCUCAUUCUUCUCAUUCAACCAUUACUCUGCGACGCUUGAGCUUCUCCAAGAUUUAUGGAAAGAGGCGAGUGGAGAGAAACUGCUGCGUGGAUGUUAAAGGUUUGGAUCGUUGAAGUUUUGAUGAGUUGAUGAAGAUAUGAUGUUUGAUGAACCGUUGAAAGUUGUUGUGUUGGUUUUGUGAAGGAAACUGAUGCUAUGAUGUUAAUUUGUGAGUUUGUGCAAAAUCGGGGUUCAGUUUAUGCAGGUUUGAUGCAUUUGUGAGGAAACUUUGUUGACUUGAUAAAGUUGAUGUUAUGAGAGCUUUGAUGUUUGGAAUUAGUGAGAUCUUUAUGAUUUUUAUUUUUUCCUACUCUUUGAAUCUUUGUGGUUUUACAGAUCCUUUGUCCUCUUCUACAUAUCUGAAGGGUUUGUGUGAAAUGGGAAAAUGGUGAUGAACAUUUUUGGGUUUGUGAUGAAUUUAGGGUUUAUGAUAUCAACUAAUUUCUUCUUCCAUUUGGGUUUCUUCUUCUUUGAAUCUUUGUGGUUUUACAGUAUUUAAAUUUGGUUGGACUGGAUUUCUUAGGCUAAGGUAUGAACCAAUUUUUGUCAGGUACAGACCUUAUGAUGAUACAUCUAUCAAAAUAAAGAUUGAUCUGCUUCAUAAAGAGAUCAGCAAGAAAAAUCAAGCUCGGUUUCUAAUCACCGAAGCACUGAAGGCAAGGCGGGACACCUUUUCUUCCUCUCCAUGUACUUUAGUGCGAUCAUCAAUGCAAGCUGUCGUCGGAGAUGCUUUUCAUUUGCCAGAAUUUGGUA